rnacentral:lncRNA from 1 species
GAUUCCUGGGGUUCUGGGGAUUGCUGGUCAUGGAGUGUGGGUGUCCCUGACACUGGGUGUCCCUGGAGUUCCUGGUCAUUGUGUCCCUGUCACUGAGUGACCUCAGGGAUUCCUGGUCAUUGUGUGUGUCCCUGUCACUGGGUGUCCCUAAGGAUUCCUGGUCAUUGUGUGUGUCCCUGUCACUGGGUGUCCCUGGAGUUCCUGGUCACUGAGUGUGUCCCCCUAUCACUGGGUGUCCCCAAGGAUUCCUGGUCACUGAGGGACCCCAGGGAUUCCUGGUCAUUGAGUGUGUGUCCCCCUGUCACUGGGUGUCCCCAGGGAUUCCUGGUCCAUUGAGUGUGUCCCUGUCACUGAGUGACCCCAGGGAUUCCUGGUCACUGAGUGUGUCCCUGUCACGAGGUGUCCCUGGAGUUCCUGGUCAUUGAGUGUGUCCCGGUCACUGAAUGUCCCCAGGGAUUCCUGGUCAUGGAGUUUGUGUGUCCCUGUCACUGGGUGUCCCAGGGAUUCCUGGUCAUUGUGUCCCUGUCACUGAGUGUCCCCAGGGAUCCCUGGUCUCUGGGUGUCCCUGGGGGUUCCCAUGGUGUUUCCCAGGAAUUCCUGUGGUGCUCCCCCAGGAUUCUUGGUCACUCAAUGUCCCCAGGGAUCCCUGGUCACUGAGUGUGUGUCCCCCUGUCACUGGGUGUCCCUGGGGAUUGCUGGUCACUGAGUGUGUCCCCAUCACUGAGUGCUUCAGGGGUUCUGGGGAUUCCUGGUCACUGAGUGUGUCCCUGUCACUGAGUGUCCCCAGGGAUUCCUGGUCAUUGAGUGUGUGUCCCCCUGACACUGGGUGUCCCUGGAGUUCCUGGUCAUUGUGUGUCCCCCUGUCACUGGGUGUCCCCAGGGAUUCCUGGUCAUUGUGUCCCUGUCACUGCGUGUCCCUGGAGUUCCUGGUCAUUGUGUGUGUCCCUGUCACUGGGUGUCCCAGGGAUUCCUGGUCAUGGAGUUUGUGUGUCCCUGUCACUGGGUGUCCCUGGAGUUCCUGGUCAUUGAGUGUGUCCCUGUCACUGAGUGUCCCCAGGGAUUCCUGGUCACUGAGUUUGUCCCUGUCACUGAGUGUCCCCAGGGAUUCCUGGUCAUUGAGUGUGUCCCGGUCACUGGGUGUCCCUGGGGAUUCUGUGAAUUCCUGGUCACUGAGUGUGUGUGUCCCUGUCACUGAGUGCCCCCGGGGCUUCUGGGGACUCCUGGUCACUCAGUGUCCCCCUGUCACUGAGUGACCCCAGGGAUUCCUGUGGUACGUGGCCACUGUCCCUGGGGAUUCCCAAUGACUGAGUGUCCCCAGGGAUUCCCAUGGUGCUCCCCAGGGACUCCUGGUCACUCAGUGUCCCUCUGUCACCAAGUGUCCCCAGGGACUCCUGGUCACUGGGUGUCCCCAGGGAUUCAAUUCCUGGUCAUUCAGUGUCCCCAGGGAUUCCUGUGGUGCUCAGGGAAUCCUGGUCACUCAGUGUCCAUCUGUCACCAAGUGUCCCUGUGAAUCCCCAGUCACUCAGUGUCCCCUGUGGUUCCUGGUCACUCAAUGUCCCCCUGUCACUGAGUGACCCCAGGGAUUCCUGGUCAUUGGGUGUCCCUGUGGAUUCCUGGUGUCCCCUGUGAUUCCUAUGGUGCUCCUCAGGGAUUUCUGGUCACUCAGUGUCCCUCUGUCACCAAGUGUCCCUGUGGAUUCCUGGUCACUCAGUGUCCUCCUGUCACUGAGUGACCCCAGGGAUUCUCAGUCACUCAGUGUCCCCAGGGAUUCCCAUGGUGCUCCUCUGGGACUCCUGGUCACUCAGUGUCCCCCUGUCACCAAGUGUCCCUGUGGAUUCCUGGUCACUGGAUGUCCCUGUGGAUUCCUGGUCACUCAGUGUCCUCCAGGAUUCCUGGUCACUCAAUGUCCCCUUGUCACUCAGUGUCCCUGUGAUUCCUGCUCACUGAGUGCCCUUUCCCUCCCUUAAACAACAACAACAAAAAAAGAGUUUAUACAGACUUUGAUAUUAAUAUAUAUCUAUUUAAUAACUUUAUUUUGAAGCAGUGAAAUCCCAACCUUCUCUUUUGCUGGAAAUAAGAUGGAAAAUGGAGUUUACUCCUUGCUGAAGGUUUAGGUUACCCAACCUAAGCUGUUUUUAUUUUUUUUUUAAUUUUAUUUUUUUAUUUUUACAGCAGAGAAACAAAAAUGUCCUGGCACAGAAAUUAAUUUUAUAUAAAUAUGAAAUAGCUGGAUAAUGUUUAUCCUUUAUUUUU